rfam:Deltaproteobacteria bacterium RIFCSPLOWO2_02_FTLL_55_12 rifcsplowo2_02_scaffold_1127, whole genome shotgun sequence.
GGAGAGGUGACCGAGAGGCUGAAGGUGGCAGUCUCGAAAACUGCUGUGUCGGAAACGGCACCGAGGGUUCAAAUCCCUCCCUCUCCG